GACGAACGCUGGCGGCGUGCUUAACACAUGCCAGUCGAACGGUGAAGCGCCUUCCUUUUUGGUGGGUGUGGAUGAGUGGCGAACGGGUGAGUAACACGUGAGUAACCUGCCCCCUUCUUCUGGAUAACCGCAUGAAAGUGUGGCUAAUACGGGAUAUUCUGGGUCUGUCGCAUGAUGGGUCUGGGAAAGAUAUUGUUUCGGUGGGGGAUGGGCUCGCGGCCUAUCAGCUUGUUGGUGGGGUGAUGGCCUACCAAGGCGGUGACGGGUAGCCGGCCUGAGAGGGUGGGCGGUCACACUGGGACUGAGACACGGCCCAGACUCCUACGGGAGGCAGCAGUGGGGAAUAUUGCACAAUGGGCGCAAGCCUGAUGCAGCGACGCCGCGUGAGGGAUGGAGGCCUUCGGGUUGUGAACCUCUUUCGCCAGUGAAGCAGGCCUGCCUCGUUUGUGGGUGGGUUGACGGUAGCUGGAUAAGAAGCGCCGGCUAACUACGUG
rnacentral:rRNA from 1 species